AUUGAACGCUGGCGGCAUGCUUUACACAUGCAAGUCGAACGGUAACAGGCCGCAAGGUGCUGACGAGUGGCGAACGGGUGAGUAAUGCAUCGGAACGUGCCCAGGCGUGGGGGAUAACGCAGCGAAAGCUGCGCUAAUACCGCAUACGAUCUGUGGAUGAAAGCGGGGGACCGAAAGGCCUCGCGCGAUUGGAGCGGCCGAUGUCAGAAUAGGUAGUUGGUGGGGUAAAGGCCCACCAAGCCAACGAUCUGUAGCUGGUCUGAGAGGACGACCAGCCACACUGGGACUGAGACACGGCCCAGACUCCUACGGGAGGCAGCAGUGGGGAAUUUUGGACAAUGGGCGCAAGCCUGAUCCAGCAAUGCCGCGUGCAGGAAGAAGGCCUUCGGGUUGUAAACUGCUUUUGUACGGAACGAAACGGUCCGGGUUAAUACCCUGGGCUAAUGACGGUACCGUAAGAAUAAGCACCGGCUAACUACGUGCCAGCAGCCGCCGUAAAAC
rnacentral:rRNA from 1 species